rnacentral:rRNA from 1 species
AUUGAACGCUGGCGGCAGGCCUAACACAUGCAAGUCGAGCGGAUGAAGGGAGCUUGCUCCUGGAUUCAGCGGCGGACGGGUGAGUAAUGCCUAGGAAUCUGCCUGGUAGUGGGGGAUAACGUCCGGAAACGGGCGCUAAUACCGCAUACGUCCUGAGGGAGAAAGGGGGGGAUCUUCGGACCUCACGCUAUCAGAUGAGCCUAGGUCGGAUUAGCCAGUUGGUGGGGUAAAGGCCUACCAAGGCGACGAUCCGUAACUGGUCUGAGAGGAUGAUCAGUCACAGUGGAACUGAGACACGGUCCCGACUCCUACGGGAGGGAGCAGUGGGGAAUAUUGGACAAUGGGAGAAAGCGUGAGCCAGACACGCCGAGUGUGUGAGGAAGGUCUUCGGAUUGUAAAGCUAUUUAAGUUGGGAGGAAGGGCAGUAAGUUAAUACGUUGCUGUGUUGACGUUACCGAUAGAAUAAGCACCGGCUAACUUCGUG